rnacentral:rRNA from 1 species
GGCAUACGAUGAAGUGCUUACUGCAUUUUUUCUUACACAUGUGUUUUUCUUUUUUUGAAAACUUUGCUUUGGUAGGCCUUCUAUAUGGGGCCUGCCAGAGAUUAAACUCAACCAAAUUUUAUUUAAUGUCAACCGAUUAUUUAAUAGUCAAAACUUUCAACAACGGAUCUCUUGGUUCUCGCAUCGAUGAAGAACGCAGCGAAAUGCGAUAAGUAAUAUGAAUUGCAGAUAUUCGUGAAUCAUCGAAUCUUUGAACGCACAUUGCGCCCUUUGGUAUUCCAAAGGGCAUGCCUGUUUGAGCGUCAUUUCUCCCUCAAACCCUCGGGUUUGGUGUUGAGCGAUACGCUGGGUUUGCUUGAAAGAAAGGCGGAGUAUAAACUAAUGGAUAGGUUUUUUCCACUCAUUGGUACAAACUCCAAAACUUCUUCCAAAUUCGACCUCAAAUCAGGUAGGACUACCCGCUGAACUUAAGCAUACAAGAUAUAAAAAAAA